rnacentral:rRNA from 1 species
GAUAUUAUAAAAGGUGAACGCCUGCCCAGUGACAUAUGUUCAACGGCCGCGGUAUUCUGACCGUGCGAAGGUAGCGUAAUCAUUUGUCUUUUAAAUAAAGACUUGUAUGAAUGGCAUCACGAGGACUUAACUGUCUCCCUAAUUUAAUCAGUGAAACUGAUCUUCCUGUGAAAAAGCAGGAAUUUUCUCAUAAGACGAGAAGACCCUAUGGAGCUUAAAACUAAAAACUAACUGUAUAAUCUGCCAAAUUAAAUGACACUAACAUACAGGUUUAGCCUAAGUUUUUUGUUGGGGCGACUAUGGAGAAAACCCUAUCCUCCAUGAAAAUAUACUUUGAGUUACCGCUCUUAGUAUUAGCAAGCCUAAAUUUAAUUGAUCCAAUCUUUGAUCAACGGACCAAGUUACCCUAGGGAUAACAGCGCAAUCCAUUUCAAGAGUCCCUAUCGACAAAUGGGUUUACGACCUCGAUGUUGGAUUAGGAUAUCCUAGUGGUGUAGCCGCUACUAAUGGUUCGUUUGUUCAACGAUUAAAGUCCUACGUGAUCUGAG